rnacentral:rRNA from 1 species
AGAUUGAACGCUGGCGGCAUGCCUUACACAUGCAAGUCGAACGGUAGAGUAGCAAUACUCGAGAGUGGCGAACGGGUGAGUAAUAUAUCGGAACGUGCCCAGUCGUGGGGGAUAACGUAGAGAAAUUUACGCUAAUACCGCAUACGAUCUACGGAUGAAAGCGGGGGAUCGCAAGACCUCGCGCGAUUGGAGCGGCUGAUAUCAGAUUAGGUUGUUGGUGAGGUAAAAGCUCACCAAGCCGACGAUCUGUAGCUGGCUUGAGAGAACGACCAGCCACACGUGGACUGAGACACGGCCCAGACUCCGUACGGAGGCAGCAGGUGGGGAAUUUGGACAAGUGGGACGAAAGCGUAGAUACCAGCAAUGCCGCGUGCAGGAAGGAGGACCGUUCGGUUCGUAAACUGUACUUUUAGGUAACGGUAACGAAAAGGUCUACUUUACCUAAAGUUAAACGACGGACCCUAAGU